UUUUUUUUACAUUUUAGUCAUUUAGCAGACGCUCUUAUCCAGAGCGACUUACAGUAGUGAAUGCAUACAUUUCAUACAAUUUCAUACAUUUUUUUCUGUGCUGGCCCCCCGUGGGAAUCGAACCCACAACCCUGGUGUUGCAAACACCAUGCUCUACCAACUGAGCUACAGGCUCGGGGUUCAUUGCUAACCUGUAGCCCCAACAGGUUAAGGUUAGGAGUAGGAUUGAGGUUGAGAUUAAGAGAGGUGGAUGGUUUGAUGUGGUCUGUGAGGGUUGGAUGAAUGGGAGAGAGGGCUGCCAAUGUGUUGUUUUUAAUGGUUCUUAAAAAUCGUUUUGAAUAUCCUCUUCUUCUGAGUGCAUUGAAUAGUGUAUUUAUUGCAUAAUCCAGGUCUUGCUUGCAAGAUGAUAUCCUGUAGAACCGUAUGAUUUGUGAUUUUAUUAUUCCCUUAAAUGUAUGUUUAGGAUGGUAACUGUGUUUAUGAAGUAAAGCAUGUGUGUCUGUUGGUUUGAAGUAGACUCUAGUGUGUAGUGUUUUCUGUGGUUGAUUGUUAUUACUGAAAAACACUGUUGUGUCUAAGAAGUUGACUUCUUGCGGAUGAAUUGUGUAUUUAACCUUAAUUGAUGAAUGAUGGCUGUUGAGAAUGUUCAUAAAGUCUGUGAAUAAUUGGAUGUCGUGGGGCCAGGCUCCUAUUAUGUCGUCUAAAAACCGGUAAUAAAAAGUGGGUUGAUAUGAACACUUGGCCAGUGCCUCUCUCUCCCAUUCAGCCAUGUAUAUGUUGGCGUAAGCAGGUGCGAAUUUUUUGCCCAUAGCUGUUCCCUCCACCUGCAGGUAAUAGUGAUCGUUAAAUAAAAAGUGAUUGCUAGUAAGGCUGAUUUCUAAUAGUUGUAAUAUUUCUUUGUCCGGUCUGGGUAUCUCUUAAAGAUUUAUGGGGGGGUGUGUGACGACCCUCCCACUCUGUCUGCCGUAUUCUCUCUGUUCUUGUUUCCUUGUUAGGAUGCCGGUGGGCGGAGUUGGAAGGGUCGUCAGCUAAAUGGGAAGCACGUGGGCCCAGCUGUGUCCCAGGAUAAAGAGACCUCUUCCACAGUUAUUGAGAAGACUCUCUCCAUGCAGACACUUUGUUGAUUUUGGUUGUGUAGUUUUGUGGCUUUUUGGUUAUUUCCUUUGGCACCUUUCAAGACCCUGCAUUAUUACAUUCAGGAUGCCGGUGGGCGGAGUUGGAAGGGUCGUCAGCUAAAUGGGAAGCACGUGGGCCCAGCUGUGUCCCAGGAUAAAGAGACCUCUUCCACAGUUAUUGAGAAGACUCUCUCCAUGCAGACACUUUGUUGAUUUUGGUUGUGUAGUUUUGUGGCUUUUUGGUUAUUUCCUUUGGCACCUUUCAAGACCCUGCAUUAUUACAUUCAGGAUGCCGGUGGGCGGAGUUGGAAGGGUCGUCAGCUAAAUGGGAAGCACGUGGGCCCAGCUGUGUCCCAGGAUAAAGAGACCUCUUCCACAGUUAUUGAGAAGACUCUCUCCAUGCAGACACUUUGUUGAUUUUGGUUGUGUAGUUUUGUGGCUUUUUGGUUAUUUCCUUUGGCACCUUUCAAGACCCUGCAUUAUUACAUUCAGGUAUGCAAAACACUCACUUACACUACUGAUUACUGAUUACACACACGCCAUU